UAAUUUGACUAAUUACUAUUUAAAUUAAUUUGAAAUUGAAUAAUUUAGAGAUUAAUUGCAAGAGAAAUCCCUGAAGAAUUGUUUGCAGAUAAGCGAGCAUGUAGUUCUUUGAAGCCUAGACCAAGUUCAUCCACUGUAACGUCCGAAACACUUGUUAAUUCAAAUAAUGGAGAUUUCAACAUGCGUGAAGAUGAUAGGGAGACUUCAUAAACUUCUGUUGAAUAUCCUAAUACAACUGAUGACAGACAACAUCCAAUAACAACAACAAACUCAACCACUUGGAUAACAUAAUCAUAACAAAAGGCCAGCUCACAUCAACCCUCUUCUUUUCUUCUUGAUAGUGUAACAUAUAAAUAGAUCUCUGCAGUCAUUAUAUAUUCAUUCAUUCAAACACUUAGAUUUCUCUAGGUUGUAAUUCUCUCUCAAUAAAUGUAUUAGUUUCUACUUUCUAGUUCCUAAUAAGCUCAAAUAAAGAGAGCAAUGAGGGAUGAAAUUAUUGGUGUGUUCUUCAUCAUUCUUUGAAGCUUUUAUUUAUCUUUGAAAUCGUACCAUGGUAUUAGAGCUUACAGUUGCGAUUUUGGAAGUUUAUUUAAUCAAUUGUUCUUCAUUUUUUCAGUUCAACCAAAAUUUAGAGAUAUAUCUUUUUCAACUUUCUCUCGAAAUUCCGCUGCUAUUUUUCUGCGUUUUAAUGCGCUUAUUUCUUCAAAUAGAACCAACUAUUGCUUCAUUGAAUUAUAUUUGCUGAUUAAUCAUCUGAUUGUUCGAACAAUUCAUAAAAUCGUCAUUUUAUCAUUGACUUUUUCAAUCAAUUUGUCAUCUGAUUCAUCAAAUCUUCUUUAUUCUUCAUUAACUGUAAGACAUCAUCAUGUGUUGUUAUUUCUUCAUUCAAUUUCUCAAUUAAUUCUUGAAAUCUCAAUAUUCUGAAAAAUGACAAAUGCAAAGACUGAUACUUCACAAAAUCCUACGUCUCCGUUUUACAUUCAUCCUUCUUAGUUCUGAUAAUUCUGGAAUGAAACUGAUUUCACUUUAAUUCAAUGGAAGUGGCCAUGGUGAUUGGAAACCCUCAAUGUUCUUAGUCUAUCACCUAAAAACAAAUUAGGAUUUGUUGAUGGCACGAUUUCUAAACCUGACUUUGAUAAUGCUAUGUUCAAAGCAUGGGAGGGAUGCAAAAGUAUAGUUGUUUGAGGUUUUAGCACUGCUCAUGAAAUUUGGACUAACCUUCAAGAGAGGUAUGGCCAGUCAUCUGGUCCUUAGAUGCUCUCUGAAACAAGCUUUGCAUGACAUAAAACAAGUAGAUAAAUAUUUCUAGUUACUAUAAUAAGAUCAAGAUGCUAGGAGGUCAAUUGGACUCCAUAGAGCCAGUUCCUACAUGUGAAUGCAAGAGCUGCAGAUGUGGUAUUAUUACUAAGAAGCUGUUGAAAUCUUAAUAAGACAUGCACCUUGUUAAGUUCGUGAUAAGAUUAAGUGAUGGCCAUGAAGUUGUUAGGGGAAGUAUCUGGAAGUAUCUUAAUGAUGUCUCCAUUACCCGAAUUAUCUCAAGCAUCAGUAGUAGUUAUCUCAACUUCACAAUAUUUCAGAAUAAUCCAUGUCAUUUGCAAGAAUUGCAGCUAAGAGAAGGUUUGGAGAUUACUCCGACAAACCUAAAUAUUUUGGUGGCAACAACUAAGAGACAGUACUCUGGCAGUUAUUGAAGAGAUAAACAUGUCUGGUCAUACCAAGCAAAUUAUCCAGCUAAUUUUUUCAAACAUGAGAAAGGGAAAAAGCUGUUAUUACUCAGGUUGAGGAGCAUAAUAAGCAAUCUGGUCUAUAGAGGUGUUCAACAGGCUUGGGGCAUGUUUUCAGCUCUCAUCCAGCCCGUUCAUAAAAGGGUUGGACUCAAAAUGGAUCGGGUGAAAAAUGGGCUAUAUUAGAAAUGAAAAGGGUUGGGUUUUAAAUGGGUUGUAUUAAAAAUAAAAGGGCCGAGUUUAAUCAUGUUAUUCUCUCUUCUCUCUCCCCUCUGACUGCUUUCUAUUCUGCGCCCCCCUAAAUUAAAUCCUAAAAAAUUUCCCCCAAAAUUUUCCCAAAUCAUAAACCCUAAAUUCUCUCUCCUCUCUACUUAUGUGUGAUAAUCUCUUCAGCUUCUGUUUUAUGAUAAAUUGAAAGAGGCAUCUUUCUUCUCUCUCUUUUUUUGGUUAAUUUUAUCUGUUUUAGUGAUUUUAUUUGCGGGCAAUUGAUUUCGAUUUCAGUUAGUACGGUAGCUUCAGAGUCUGGAUUUAGCAUUGGAGGAAAGACAGUCUCCGCUAUUCGUAGCUCUUUGAAUCCCAAAACUGUUCAAGCAUUAGUUUGUGUUCAAUAUUGGCAUCGUGAAGAGCAUGGUAUUGCUCUUGAUUUGGAUCAUGAUUCAAACUAUUGUGAUGAGGCCAUAAAUGAAGACGAGGAUGAUGAGAGUGAUGCAACUAGCUUCUUUGAUUAGAGCCAAAGAGUUUUAUGAAAUAUGUCAUUCUAAUUUUCGAUCAAAGAAGACAGCCGACAAAGCCAAAUCUUCCCGCUAUUUCAGACAUAAAAAAAAUCCGAGGGUUAGGGUUUAACAAAAAAUGGGGAAAUUAUCUAUAAAAAAUCGUGAGAAGAGAGAUAAAAAAAUGGCGAUGAAAGGAAAGGGAAGAAAAGCGCGAGAUGAAGAACCUUCAACACCGGUGGAAUCGAUCCUACACUGAUUUUCGAGCUACUCGACCAUUGAACCGAAGCUCCUUUAGCCAAGAAUUGAGAGGAUGAGACCGACAAGUGAGAGGUGAGAGGAUGAAAGGAGAGAGAGGAGAGAGAGAGAGGGGAUGAGAGGAGAGAAACGAUGAAAGAACGGGUGAGAGGAAAGAGGAGGAGAGAGAGGAGGGCGUAAGAUCUGAGGGAAAGAGGCGCAUGAGAGAUGAAAGGAGGACGAAAAAACCCUAACACGCCUUAUAUACUUUUUUGUCAAUAUCUUUUAAUGAUAUCACUACUACAAAAAAGGGCAAACAUAACACUCCUAAAUUAACUCUUAUUUAAGCAACUGAUAUGUAAAGUCUAAAUUUAACGUUUUAACCGUAGAACUGUUAUCUUAGGUUGUAUUGAUAAUAUAUCACUUAACACUUGUCUUAAUGUGUGUUAUCUUUGCUAUGAAAUUAUUAUGUGAUGCUUCGAUUUUUUUAUGAGAAUAAUAAAAACUAUUAUCUUUGAUUAUUAAUAAUAAUAAUAAAUCUGUCAUAAUAAUUUAAUUGAAAAAAAAACUAUCAUGGCUAGAAAUUAGGAGCACUUACUAUGUAUUCUUGCUCUAAACCCGUCUUUUUUAAGUUCUAAGUUGCUGUAAACCCUUUUUGGUAGGUUUUUUUCGCCUCUCAAAAAAAAAAACUACCAUUAAAUUCUCUCUCCUCUAAUUUCUCGUUGCUCUCUUUUUCUUCAAAUUUCUUCUCUUAAGAAUGGCGGCAGUGGAAAUCAUGGAACCGGUAUUAGUUACUACCGAAUCGUUUCAAGCAGAUGUCAAACUCUUCAACCAAUAUAACCAAAAAAUUGAAAAAUCAAAAGAAAUCCUAAACUUAAUGUUGCCGUUUCCGUUCAAUCUCUCUCUCAAACUCAAACACUUCUUUCACUCUCUAUUCUCCGUCUCUCUCAGUUCCCCUCGUUAGUCGGCGUCGGUCGCCUCGAGUUAUUGUUUGUCGUUGGCUUCUAGGUAUGCUUAACACGAUUAAUUCUUACGGUUGUGGGCUUCUAGGGCUUAUUCUUUGCUUCUUAAUGCGCCAUUCUUCUCUAAUUGUUGCUGAGUUGUCGCACCGGUGAUUUCCGCCACCUCUACCGCCUGCCGGGUCUGCGGUCUGUGUGACUGUAGAUUUUAGCCUGCUGUACUGUUGGUUAAUUUUCUUUGUUUCUUUCUCAAAAGCUCUUUCAAUUUAUUUUCCAUCUAAAGAUUUAAUGAUUUGUGAGUUUAUGGGUUCAUGAAUUGUGUGGAUUUAUGGGUUUGUGAAUUAGGAAUCUAUUGAUUUUUGAACUUAAAAAUCAAAAAGAUUGUAUUUAUGAAUUUAAAAAUUAAAAGACUGAAUUUGUGAAUUGGGAAUUUACAGUGUUGGUAAAUUAUAACUUGUUUACUUUGUUAUUGAAUUCAAUUGGUGAAUGAGUGAAUUAUAAUUUGUGAAUUUCUUAUUAAUACACAAUUAUACAUAUUUGUUA